GGGAUUAUAGUUAAUAAUAAUAUUUGGGUUGCAUUCAAAAGGUAUUGAUAAAUCAAUUAAUCUCA
rnacentral:tRNA from 1 species